UCCCCAAUCGCUGUCACUGUAAGC
rnacentral:siRNA from 1 species